GCCUGGGUGGCUCAGUGUGUCGAGCCUCUGACUUCGGCUCAGGUCGUGAUCUCGCAGUUUGCGGGUUCGAGCCCCACAUCGGGCU
rnacentral:tRNA from 1 species